CACGAUAUUUUGCUAACACCAAACACACAUAUGGGCAAGUGCACCCAUCGUGAGCGUAGUAUAGUGUUGGCAAGAUACCGAGGUCGUCCAAGGACACAAGAGCUUUUAAUACCGGUUUAUCCUCAACGUCUAAUCAAAUCAAAAGUUUAGAAAAAGAUGUUUAAACAAGAAAAUAAAAACUACAAAUGCUGAAAAAUAAAAAUAAAAACAAAAACAGAUAGAUAAGAUGAAUCACUUGGAUCAGAUUCGUGUUUAGUGUAACCUUUAAUUAUUUCCGCACUUUUGCACAUUUUAAGAGAUUAUCUUAGUUAUAGUAGUAGGCCCCUCUUUUGAAGUUUUUCUUUUGGGUGUCGGAGAUGAGGCGAGAUACGGUGACGUUACCCUCAACCCAGUAGUUUGAGUCAGCAAGGAUACAAUCCUA
rnacentral:lncRNA from 1 species